GAAGAAAAAAUUAUUUAAAAUAUUUUGGUUAAUUUAUAGAAUAUUAAAAAAAGAAAUUUUUAUUUUAUUAAUAUAUAUGAAUAAAUAUAAAUAAUUAUAGUAAAUUAGUAUUGUGAAAGAAAUAGAUUUAUUUUAGUAAAAGAAGAAUUAUUUUUUUGUACCUUGUGUAUCAGGAUUUAUUAAAAAAAGAUUAUGAAUUUAAGUUUCUCGAAUUUAAAAGAGUUAAAAAUUUAUAUGUUUAAUUGUUGAAAAAAUUUAUUGAAUAAAUUUAUUGAAGUGAAACGUUAUUCGAUUUUAAAUAUAUCUAGUUUUUUAAGAAAAAAAUUUAAUUUUAUUUUUAUAAGAUUAUUUUAUUUAAUAUUUAAUAAAAUAUUUUUGAGAUUAAAUAUUAUAGGGGAUGAGCUUUAUAAUAAAUUUAUAAAAUAAAAUAUGUAUAUAUAUAUAUUAAUUAAUAAGUAGAAUUAUAAGUUUUUAUUUUUAUUAGUGUUUUAUAACAAGUUAAUUGAAAAAUAAAAUUUUUAUAUAAUUUAUAUAAUUUAUUAAAAUAUAAAUUAAAAUAGAAUAUAUUUAGAAAUAAUGAUAAAAUUAGUAUAAUUUUAUGUAUAUAUAUAUAUAUAUAAUGAAAGGUUAAGUAAAGGAAUUCGGCAAAUAUAUUUUUCACCUGUUUAUUAAAAACAUGGCCUUUUGAUAAUAAUUUAAGGUCUAACCUGCCCAAUGAAGAUUUAAAUGGCCGCGGUAUUUUGACCGUGCAAAGGUAGCAUAAUCAUUAGUUUUUUAAUUGAAAGCUUGUAUGAAAGGUUUGAUGAAAAAAUAGCUGUCUCUAUUUAAAUUUGUUAGAAUUUUAUAUUUAAGUAAAAAAGCUUAAAUUUUGAUAGAAGACGAGAAGACCCUAUAGAGUUUUAUAUUUAUUUAUAUAUUUGUAUAUUAAGAAUUUAGGUUGAUUUAUGUAGAGUAAAUAUUUAGUUGGGGUGAUUGAAAAAUUAGAUAAACUUUUUUUUUAUAAAAUCAUUUAUAUAUGAAUAUUUGAUCCUUUUAUGAAGAUUAUAAGAUAAAAUUACCUUAGGGAUAACAGCGUAAUUUUUUUUUAGAGUUCAAAUUAAAAAAAAAGAUUGCGACCUCGAUGUUGGAUUAAAAUUUGAUUUUGGUGAAGAAGCUAAAAAUCUAGGUCUGUUCGACCUUUAAAAUUUUACAUGAUCUGAGUUUAAACCGGCGUAAGCCAGGUUGGUUUCUAUCUCUAUUUAAAUAUAAUAUUUUAGUACGAAAGGACCAAAUAUUAAAUUAAUAAUUUAAAGAAGAAUAAUAUUAAAUUU
rnacentral:rRNA from 1 species